rnacentral:snRNA from 1 species
AAAGAAUAUAGUAGUGUAUGCAG